rnacentral:lncRNA from 1 species
UGACACGUCUGAGACACGUACAUGACACAAACGCUUACAUUGAUUUUAUUUUGGCAAAACUUGAAAUCAUUUACUAUUUUUUUUGGGGUUUAGUGUGCCACAAUCAUACUAAGGUGAUGGAAUUUGAUCCUGGACUUCUUAGGUCUUUAAGUUUUGAUGACAUUAUUCUGAUCAGGAUUUUGGUCAAACUAAAUACAUUAAGUUAACAAAAAGAAAUGAUGUUGAAGGCAACUUUUCUUCUGCUAGUAUUCUUAAUUAUAACUACUGAAACUAGAUUGAGAAUACUGAUUGAUACCAAGAACUUGAUAUUCCUUGUUGUUUCUUUUCUCAUGCUCACGAAGCUUUUAAUAGCUUCUGUUUGCAUUAUUUUGAUUCAAUUAUGCUUUUGAUUUUGCAGGGUCACUAAAAUUAGGUGUUGAUGUCAUUGUCAAGGUCUUUUAUAUUACACUAUGUUUACCAUUCUAAUAUGGACAACUUCUACGAGUGCUUCAUUGUGGACUAGUAUUUAACAAAUAUUUGAAAUUUUAUCGAUGACAUAUUAUUAUUUGAAAAUAUAAGUUAAUGGUUAUUGUCAUUUUUACAAUUAAAGGUGUAUUAGGGACAUGUCGUCAGUGUACUAAAACAUGUUGCUGCUGGAUUGGAUAUUUUUUUUUUUAAAUUAAAUAAAUUCGGAUACUCCUUCGACAUAUCACAACAUUGGUAUGCAAGGCCGAUCAUGGAGUCCUUACACGAAAUAUUAUAAAUGGACUUUUAAUAAAAAAUAAAAAAAGAAUAUUUCUCAUUUAAAUUGUAAAUAAUAUUAAUAUAAAAAAAUUCGUGGCAAAGAAAUAAAAAAAAUAUAAAAAUCCAUGUGUUCUGAGAGAGUUAUACCGUGACACAGGGGACCAUGGUUGCGAUUGCGUACUCAGUGAUGUAGUUUUGAAUAUGCUGCCAAAUGCGGUUCCGGAUAAUUAAAAAUUGCCUUCUUUUUGUGUCCUGGCAUUGAUGGUAAACCAUGAUAUUUUCAUGAAUCCAUUUUCUUUGUAACUUAAAAAAUGCUUUGAAUUUUUUCCUUCAUAUCCACCGUAGUAUUUUUACUGGAAAAAUAUCUCCGAUUUUUGCAUAUUGAUUGCUUGACCCGAUACUUCUUCAUAAUGCUUUAAACUUAAAGUAUCAAGCAUCACUAUAAUAUAUCUUUCUCCAGCCAUGCAAAAAAGAAAGCAGUUGUCUAAAAAUAAAAGGUGUGUCAGGAGUUGAGCUCCUCGACACACUUUGAUGCCAUGAACAUAUCUUUGUGCUUUCAGUCUCUUGAGAAGGAUUGACAGACCCUCUGUACAAAU